rnacentral:rRNA from 1 species
CGUACACUCCUACGGGAGGCAGCAGUGGGGAAUAUUGCACAAUGGGCGCAAGCCUGAUGCAGCCAUGCCGCGUGUAUGAAGAAGGCCUUCGGGUUGUAAAGUACUUUCAGCGGGGAGGAAGGCAAUACGGUUAAUAACCGUGUUGAUUGACGUUACCCGCAGAAGAAGCACCGGCUAACUCCGUGCCAGCAGCCGCGGUAAUACGGAGGGUGCAAGCGUUAAUCGGAAUUACUGGGCGUAAAGCGCACGCAGGCGGUCUGUCAAGUCGGGUGUGAAAUCCCCGGGCUCAACCUGGGAACUGCAUUCGAAACUGGCAGGCUUGAGUCUUGUAGAGGGGGGUAGAAUUCCAGGUGUAGCGGUGAAAUGCGUAGAGAUCUGGAGGAAUACCGGUGGCGAAGGCGGCCCCCUGGACAAAGACUGACGCUCAGGUGCGAAAGCGUGGGGAGCAAACAGGAUUAGAAACCCUAGUAGUCCC